AUACGGAGGAUGCAAGCGUUAUCCGGAUUUAUUGGGUUUAAAGGGUGCGUAGGCGGAUGAUUAAGCGUGAGGUGAAAUGCCACUGCUCAACAGUGGAACUGCCUCGCGAACUGGUUGUCUUGAAUGCUCCUGCCGUGGGAGGAAUGUGUGGUGUAGCGGUGAAAUGCAUAGAGAUCACACAGAACACCGAUUGCGAAGGCAUCUCACGAAGGGGUGAUUGACGCUGAGGCACGAAAGCGUGGGGAUCAAACAGGAUUAGAUACCCUGGUAGUCCACGCAGUAAACGAUGAUAACUAACCGCUGGGUCGUAGUGAUUCAGUGGCCAAGCGAAAGCGAUAAGUUAUCCACCUGGGGAGUACGACCGCAAGGUUGAAACUUAAAGGAAUUGGCGGGG
rnacentral:rRNA from 1 species